UGAGAAACCCGAAAGGUCGAAGGGGGAGAUUCAUUCGCGUCUCGAUCGCCGGAGUCGGAUGGUCGCGCGACGGACGACGUUCGCGUCGUUCGCGCCCUCCGUCCGUUCGAAGCGGCGUCGAACGCGUGCACUUCUCCCCUUGUAGGACGUCGCGAUCCGUUGGGUGCCGGUCUAAGGCCCGCGGUGGAGCCCGCAAGUUCGCUUGCGGACCCGCGGUCGCCCGACCGGCUCGCUCGACGGUGUACAGAUGGCGCGAGGCCGCGAUUUUUUUCGCGUCCGACCCGCGGCAAGCGCGCUCGUUCGCGCCGACGAUCGGACCUGGUGCCGGUCCCGGCCGCGAGUGGCUGUUGGCCGCGGCGUUCUCGGACAGACCUCCGAACGCCGAUCUGCGACGCUAUAGCUUUGGGUACUUUCAGGACCCGUCUUGAAACACGGACCAAGGAGUCUAGCAUGUGCGCGAGUCAUUGGGAUUCGACUAAACCUAAAGGCGCAAUGAAAGUGAAGGUUCGCCUAGCGCGAACCGAGGGAAGAUGGGCGGUCGUCGAGAGAGGCCGCCCCGCACUCCCGGGGCGUCUCGUUCUCAUUGCGAGAGGAGGCGCACCAAAAGCGUACACGCUGGGACCCGAAAGAUGGUGAACUAUGCCUGGUCAGGACGAAGUCAGGGGAAACCCUGAUGGAGGUCCGUAGCGAUUCUGACGUGCAAAUCGAUCGUCGGAACUGGGUAUAGGGGCGAAAGACUAAUCGAACCAUCUAGUAGCUGGUUCCCUCCGAAGUUUCCCUCAGGAUAGCUGGCGCUCGUCGCUCACGAGUCUCAUCCGGUAAAGCGAAUGAUUAGAGGCAUUGGGGUCGAAACGACCUCAACCUAUUCUCAAACUUUAAAUGGGUGAGAUCUCCGGCUUGCUCGAACAUGAAGCCGCGAGAUUUUCGGAUCAGAGUGCCAAGUGGGCCAUUUUUGGUAAGCAGAACUGGCGCUGUGGGAUGAACCAAACGCCGAGUUAAAGCGCCUAAAUCGACGCUUAUGGGAUACCAUGAAAGGCGUUGGUAACUUAAGACAGCAGGUCGGUGGCCAUGGAAGUCGGAAUCCGCCAAGGAGUGUGUAACAACUCACCUGCCGAAGUUACUAGCCCUGAAAAUGGAUGGCGCUGAAGCGUCGUGCUUAUACUCGGCCGUCAGCGGCAUGUGCGGUCGCCCGCAAGGGCGGCCAUGAAGCCCUGACGAGUAGGAGGGUCGCGGCGGUGCGCGCAGAAGGGCUGGCCGCGAGGCCGUCUGGAGCCGCCGUCGGUGCAGAUCUUGGUGGUAGUAGCAAAUACUCCAGCGAGGCCCUGGAGGACUGAGGUGGAGAAGGGUUUCGUGUGAACAGCCGUUGCACACGAGUCAGUCGAUCCUAAGCCCUAGGCGAAAGCCGAUGUCGAUGCGGUGUGGAUUUCUAGUGAGAUAAGCACACACCCGUCGGGCGAAAGGGAAUCCGGUUCCUAUUCCGGAACCCGGCAGCGGAACCGUCAAUUGUUCGGGCCCUCGCAAGAGAGUUCGUCGGGGCAACCCAAAAGGACCCGGAGACGCCGUCGGGAGAUCCGGGAAGAGUUUUCUUUUCUGCAUAAGCGUUCGAGUUCCAUGGAAUCCUCUAGCAGGGAGAUAUGGUUUGGAACGCGAAGAGCACCGCAGUUGCGGCGGUGUCCGGAUCUUCCCCUCGGACCUUGAAAAUCCGGGAGAGGGCCACGUGGAGGCGUCGCGCCGGUUCGUACCCAUAUCCGCAGCAGGUCU
rnacentral:rRNA from 1 species